CCCGAAGUAAGUAACUGCUGAACGGACCAGCUGACAGAUGGGAAAUCCUUGCACGGAGCUAUGACAAGGGGAAGUCUGUGGGAAAAGGUUACAAUUAGCUCAGGGGAGAAAGAUAUUAUUUGCUGGACCUCAUCGAAUUCCAAAACAAGUGGUGAAUAUGUGACAAGACGAAAUUCUGGCAAGAGGAAGGGCGCUCCUGACAGAUGUGUGUUCCUGCAGCCCCCUGCAUAUGUGGAGAGCCCCAAGGGCGAGGCUUCCGCUAGAACUGUCAGGAAGAGUCAACAAGAACCCAAAGAAAUGUCCUCAUCCCAGAACCCAGAGGUGAAGCCAGAACUGGAAAGUUCUGCCAUUAUUCCAGUUUGCAUCUGGACAUUCAUGUUAUGCAGAAGGCAUUUGAGAAUAUUGCUCUGGUGGCACUGAUUAGACACUAAGGAUUUCAGGUGUGUGGGGCCAAAGAAGGACAUAGAAAGGGAUCAGAAAUGUCUCUUUCAAUAGCUCUAUAUUUUUCAGUUUAUUAAAACAGUA
rnacentral:lncRNA from 1 species